rnacentral:rRNA from 1 species
AUGAGGAGAGAAUCCUAAGGCCAACGGGAGAAGGGUUGUUAAGGAACUCGGCAAGUUGACCCCGUAACUUAGGGAUAAGGGGUGCUCAAGUGAUUGAGCCGCAGAGAAUAGGCCCAGGCGACUGUUUAGCAAAAACACAGGUCUCUGCUAAAUCGAAAGAUGACGUAUAGGGGCUGACACCUGCCCGGUGCCGGAAGGUUAAGAGGAGAUGUGAGAGCAUUGAAUUGAAGCCCCGGUAAACGGCGGCCGUAACUAUAACGGUCCUAAGGUAGCGAAAUUCCUUGUCAGGUAAGUUCUGACCCGCACGAAAGGUGUAACGAUCUGGGCACUGUCUCAACAACCCGCCCGGCGAAAUUGUAGUACCGGUGAAGAUGCCGGUUACCCGCGACUAGACGGAAAGACCCCAUGGAGCUUUACUGUAGCCUAAUAUUGGAUUUCGGUAUUUCACGUACAGGAUAGGUGGGAGACUGGGAAGCACAGGCGUCAGCUUGUGUGGAGUCGACCUUGGGAUACCACUCUUGGAGUGCUGGAAUUCUAACCUGCGGCUUUGAAGCAAGUCGGGGGACAUUGUUAGGUGGGCAGUUUGACUGGGGCGGUCGCCUCCUAAAGAGUAACGGAGGCGCUCAAAGGUUCGCUCUGCAUGGAUGGAAACCAUGCGUCAGAGUGUAAACGCAAAAGCGAGCCUAACUGCGAGAAUGACGGUUCGAGCAGUAACGAAAGUUGGAGUUAGUGAUCCGGCGGUAUGUGAAUGGAAAUGCCGUCGCUCAACGGAUAAAAGCUACCCUGGGGAUAACAGGCUGAUCUCCCCCAAGAGUCCACAUCGACGGGGAGGUUUGGCACCUCGAUGUCGGCUCAUCGCAUCCUGGGGCUGAAUUCGGUCCCAAGGGUUUGGCUGUUCGCCAAUUAAAGCGGUACGCGAGCUGGGUUCAGAACGUCGUGAGACAGUUCGGUCCCUAUCUGUCGUGGGCGUAGGAUAUUUGCAAGGAGCUGUCCCUAGUACGAGAGGACCGGGAUGGACGCACCUCUGGUGCACCAGUUGUCACGCCAGUGGCACAGCUGGGCAGCUAUGUGCGGAACGGAUAAACGCUGAAGGCAUCUAAGCGUGAAGCCGCCCUUAAGAUAAGAUAUCCCUUCUGUUUACAGAGUAAGACCCCUUGAAGACUACAAGGUUGAUAGGCUCAAAGUGUAAGCACGGUGACGUGUUUAGCUAGCGAGUACUAAUCGGUCGAGUGCUUAACCU